rnacentral:lncRNA from 13 species
UACAGCAAGACAGAAAUUUCAAGCAACAGUUUUUGGAAAACAUAUGGAGACCAGCCUGGGAAUUUUGUAAGGUACAUCUCAUUGAAAAUAACUGGAAAACUUGGAUUCAGUUUCACCCUGUGUGUGCCCACCUGUACCCACCACCUCGGAGAGCAAAUAAACCCCCAAAACUCAGAUCUGGAUUUAUCAGAGAAUUCUCUCAUCAGCUUGGAGAAAUCAUGCAACCUCCCCACGUCUCUGUGAGAUGAAGAUAACACAUUAUUUCUCUCCCUUUUGCUUGGUUUGACUGAAAAUUUCUCAGGGCAGAGCUGCCCGGGCUGUGUCUGUGCAGAGAACAUCGUACAAUGAAUUGGGAGUUCGGCUCCGGGCACAUCAGCAUUACUACAAUGCAGAUUAAUAUAUUUUUUUCCUUCUUUCAUUUCUUUAAAGAAGAUACAAUCUACCUCUGCUUGAGCUCUGCCUGAGGUAUGAAAUAAGUGUAAAAGUUCACGUUUUUAGCAGCAAGAUGUUUCUUAAUUAGAGCUUUUCUUAUCAGUCGACUUCUUUUAACCAUUUAGAUUUAAAUUUAGUCAGGGUCUCCAAUAUGCCAUGUUCUUUUAAUUUUCCCCCCCAUUAUUAGUGUAUCUAAAUUAUGUGCAUUUCUUUGUGGGUUGCUGUGCAAUAAUUCUUCCUCCUAACUAAUAAU